GGGCGUUUAGCUCAGUGGCAAAAGCACCUGCCUUGCAAGCAGGUAGUCGUGAGUUCGAUCUCUGGUACCUCUCU
rfam:Cavia porcellus supercont2_165 genomic scaffold, whole genome shotgun sequence.